CAGCAGCCACGGUAAUACGUAGGGUGCGAGCGUUAAUCGGGAUUACUGGGCGUAAAGGGCGCGUAGGCGGUGGCCAAAGUCAGGCGUGAAAUUCCUGGGCUCAACCUGGGGGCUGCGCUUGAUACUUGGUUGCUUGAGUGGGGAAGAGGGUCGUGGAAUUCCCAGUGUAGAGGUGAAAUUCGUUGAUAUUGGGAAGAACAUCGGUGGCGAAGGCGGCGACCUGGUCCUUGACUGACGCUGAGGCGCGAAAGCGUGGGGAGCAAACAGGAUUAGAUACCCCCGUAGUCCCUGUCUCUUAUAC
rnacentral:rRNA from 1 species